rnacentral:lncRNA from 1 species
AGGACAAAGGGGGCGGGGAGGCCGCCACUAGCAAACAACCUCAGCUUCAUAAAUCCAGCAGAAAGGUCCGGGGUAUUGUUGAAAAGGUCGGAAGGACCAAGAUUAUGUCCGCCAGCCUAAGUGGGACGAACAACCAAGUUGUGCGAUGCAGCUUUAAAGGGGCUGGUGAUUGACAGAAUGGUGUAGUAGUAGAUGGGGUGGAGCCGCUGGGUGGGGUCGAGACUGGCAGCUGAGAGAUACCAAAAGGAAGAAAAAAGAAAACCAUUGCUCUUGAUAUUGCUAAUGCCGGGGGAGGUAAGCUAACGAGAAAGUAGGGAAAAGGAAGGUUUUAGAGUUCACCUCCACUCCUUCCCCUGGCUAACACUCUUUACACUCUUCUGCCUUCCCUUGAGAUAAUUAAAAUAGACUGUACACCGGCCCUAGUCGGUGCCCAUUCCCCCUAACUCUUCACUCAACUACGUGUGUAGUCCGAGGGAGUGAGGACCCCGGGUCCAAGAGCUCAAUCCCGGCCCCGCCCCGUCGGCCCAGGCCCCGGGGCUGGGAGGAGAGGAUGCCUUCGGAGGCGCAGAAUCCGAAAAGAUGUGGUUGGAGCUGGAAGCUGUUAUCCUCAGCAAACUAAUGCAGGAGGAGAAAACCAAAUACUGCAAGUUCUCACUUAUAAGUGGGAACUGAAUGAUGAGAACAUUUGGACAUGGUAAGGGGAGGACAACAUGCAGUGGGGCCUGUUGGGGAGUAUGGCAGGAGGGAAAGCAUCAGGAAAUUCACUAAUAGAUGCUGGGCUUAAUAACUUGAUGAUGGGAUGAUCUGUGCAGCAAACCACCAUGGCACAUGUUUACUAAUGUAACAAACCUGCACAUUCAGCACAUGUACCCCUGAACUUAAAAUAAAGCAAAAUAAAAAUAAAAAUAUAAUUUUUCCCCAUUCAA